rnacentral:rRNA from 1 species
AGUGAACGCUGGCGGUAGGCCUAACACAUGCAAGUCGAACGGCAGCACAGUAAGAGCUUGCUCUUACGGGUGGCGAGUGGCGGACGGGUGAGGAAUACAUCGGAAUCUACUUUUUCGUGGGGGAUAACGUAGGGAAACUUACGCUAAUACCGCAUACGACCUACGGGUGAAAGCAGGGGAUCUUCGGACCUUGCGCGAUUGAAUGAGCCGAUGUCGGAUAGCUAGUUGGCGGGGUAAAGGCCCACCAAGGCGACGAUCCGUAGCUGGUCUGAGAGGAUGAUCAGCCACACUGGAACUGAGACACGGUCCAGACUCCUACGGGAGGCAGCAGUGGGGAAUAUCGGACAAUGGGCGCAAGCCUGAUCCAGCCAUACCGCGUGGGUGAAGAAGGCCUUCGGGUUGUAAAGCCCUUUUGUUGGGAAAGAAAAGCAGCAGGUUAAUACCCCGCUGUUCUGACGGUACCCAAAGAAUAAGCACCGGCUAACUUCGUG